rnacentral:rRNA from 1 species
AUUGAACGCUGGCGGCAUGCCUUACACAUGCAAGUCGAACGGCAGCACGGGUGCUUGCACCUGGUGGCGAGUGGCGAACGGGUGAGUAAUACAUCGGAACGUACCUUAUCGUGGGGGAUAACGCAGCGAAAGCUGUGCUAAUACCGCAUACGCCCUGAGGGGGAAAGCGGGGGAUCGCAAGACCUCGCGCGACUAGAGCGGCCGAUGCCUGAUUAGCUUGUUGGUGGGGUAAAAGCCCACCAAGGCGACGAUCAGUAGCUGGUCUGAGAGGACGAUCAGCCCCACUGGGACUGAGACCCGGCCCAGACUCCUACGGGAGGCAGCAGUGGGGAAUUUUGGACAAUGGGGGCAACCCUGAUCCAGCAAUGCCGCGUGAGUGAAGAAGGCCUUCGGGUUGUAAAGCUCUUUUGUCAGGGAAGAAACACCGGCUCUAACACAGUCCGGGAAUGACGGUACCUGAAGAAUAAGCACCGGCUAACUACGUGCCAGCAGCCGCCGUAA